GGAGAUUGCCAGCUCUGAGCGUGGCUAGAGUGGCCUGUGAGCAACCAGCCGCUGUACGCUUGGGGCUCCCUGAGUUCAGGUGUAGCCCUUUCCUAAAUCAACACUUACUGAAAUGAUACCAAAUACACCAAACAACCUGGUAAGAUUUAACUAAGUUUUAAGAAGUACAUCAACAGUUUAAAAUCAGAAAAGCUUUACUGCUGCAGUUCAGGUGAGAUAGAAAACAGAUGUGACCAUCAAAGGAACAGGUGCACCCUAUAGGAAUGCCACUGAGGAAACACUGAAGUGAGAGUCACCAUCCAGAGGUGUCAGGUGCCAGAGAUGCCAAUGAAUCAUCAGCUGGCAUGGAGGGUCUUCCAAGCUCUUUUUACUGUAUGACUCCCAGUAUAAGAUGGGGCAAAUGUGAGAUCGAUAAAUGAGAAUAA